AACUUCCAACGGUGGAUCCCUUGGCUCGCGCGUCGAUGAAGACCGUAGCAAAGCGCGAGAGUGUGCUGUGAAUUGCAGAAUUCAGUGAAUCAUCGAAUUGUCGAACGCACAUUGCGCCUUGCCGGCUCUCCGGCGAGGCACGUUCGGCUGAGGGCCG
rnacentral:rRNA from 1 species